rnacentral:rRNA from 1 species
CAAGUCUGGUGCCAGCAGCCGCGGUAAUUCCAGCUCCAAUAGCGUAUAUUAAAGUUGUUGCAGUUAAAAAGCUCGUAGUUGGAUUUCUGUUAAUAAUUUAUAUAUAAUAUUUUAAUGGUAUUUAUAUAAUAUUAACAUAAUUCAUAUUACUAUUAUUAGUAUAUGAAAUUUUACUUUGAGAAAAUUAGAGUGCUUAAAGCAGGCAUUAGCCUUGAAUACUCCAGCAUGGAAUAAUAUAAAAGAUUUUUAUCUUUUUUAUUGGUUCUAAGAUAAAAAUAAUGAUUAAUAGGGACAGUUGGGGGCAUUUGUAUUUAACAGUCAGAGGUGAAAUUCUUAGAUUUGUUAAAGACAAACUAGUGCGAAAGCAUUUGCCAAGGAUGUUUUCAUUAAUCAAGAACGAAAGUUAGGGGAUCGAAGACGAUCAGAUACCGUCGUAGUCUUAACCAUAAACUAUGCCAACUAGAGAUUGGAGGUUGUUCCUUACUCCUUC